AUUGAACGCUGGCGGCAGGCCUAACACAUGCAAGUCGAACGAGUGGCGGACGGGUGAGUAAUGUCUGGGCAACUGCCUGAUGGAGGGGGAUAACUACUGGAAACGGUAGCUAAUACCGCAUAACAUCCGAUGUGCCCAGAUGGGAUUAGCUUGCUGGUGGGGUAACGGCUCAUCAAGACGACGAUGCCUAGCUGGUCUGAGAGGCUGACCGGCCACACUGGAACUGAGACACGGUCCAGACUCCUACGGGAGGCAGCAGUGGGGAAUAGUGCACAAUGGGCGAAAGCCUGAUGCAGCCAGGCCGCGUGAAUGAAGAAGGCCUUCGGAUUGUAAAGUACUGUCGGCGGGGAGGCGUUACCCGCAGAAGAAGCACCGGCUAACUACGUGCCAGCAGCCGCGGUAAUAC
rnacentral:rRNA from 1 species